rnacentral:rRNA from 1 species
UUUGAAAUUCCUAGUGGCGAAGGGAGAGUAACACGUGAGUUACCUGCCCCAAAGUCGAGGACAGCCCGGGGAAACCCGGAUUAAUACCGGAUGUGAUCGUAAGAUUAAAGGCGGGGUAACCAGCCGCUUUGGGAUGGGCUCGCGGCCUAUCAGCUUGUUGGUGAGGUAAAAGCUCACCAAGGCAACGACGGGUAGCUGGUCUGAGAGGACGACCAGUCACACUGGAACUGAGACACGGUCCAGACACCUACGGGUGGCAGCAGUCGAGAAUCAUUCACAAUGGGCGAAAGCCUGAUGGUGCGACGCCGCGUGGAGGACGAAGGCCCUAGGGUCGUAAACUCCUGUCAUCAGGGAGUAAGGACUUCACCAGUAACUGGGUGAGGUAUUGAUAGUACCUGAAGAGGAAGGGACGGCUAACUUCGUGCCAGCAGCCGCGGUAAUACGAAGGUCCCAAGCGUUGUUCGGAUUUACUGGGCGUAAAGAGUCUGUAGGCGGUAAAGUAAGUCAGAUGUGAAAUCCCGGAGCUCAACUCCGGAACUGCAUCCGAUACUGCUUUACUAGAGUAUUGGAGGGGAAUCUGGAAUUCUCGGUGUAGCAGUGAAAUGCGUAGAUAUCGAGAGGAACACUAGUGGCCGAAGGCGAGAUUCUGGACAAUUACUGGCGCUGAGAGACGAAGGCCAGGGUAGCGAAAAGGAUUAGAUACCCUUGUAGUCCUGGCAGUAAACGUUGCACGCUUGGUGUGGGAGGAUUCGACCCCCUUCCGUGCC